rnacentral:lncRNA from 1 species
AAAUUGUGAGUUCACAUGUUCUUUACUAAUGGGAACUUAUGCCAUCCCUUAAUGAUCGGGCCAAAGGCCCAAUAGUUUCAAUUCCAGGAUCUUUACUUCAUGACCAACCACCUUAAUAGAAAUCAAUCCUCUUAAAAGUUAAAUAUAAUUAAGGCAUGAUAAUACUUGAAUUUUAAAUCAAAUGGUACUUCUCUACCUCUACAAAAAUAAGAAUUGAAGAUUUGACUCUUAUGUAACACAAAAAUAAAUAUAUAAUUUAUUGUAC